CCAAGAAUCGGACCUGAGACCUGAUGGGGAACGGGCCGACACCCUAAGCACCAAGCUUAGGGCAAGCAGGUUGGAUUUAUUCUCACUGUGAACGUUUCGUGGUUGUCCCCCGCGUCCUGGAAACAAAGUGCUUCAGCACAGACAUCAUCUCUGAAGGAGGAAGUGUUUUUUUACAUCCAAAGUUUGUAAACAUUUUGAAUAUUGUUCCUGCUGAGAUAUUUGUUCUAAGCUUACAGUUUGUGACUGCCGAGGUUGUUCUGCUAGUGUUGUGUAGUCUAUACAGAAUUUCGGCUAAUUCGAGUAAGCGGUUCUGUGGCUACUGUGAGACUUGGGCACUGUUCCAGGCCCCCUUUGACCCCCUCUGAUGUGGAACAACCUCAGUAGCCUCAGGCCAACUGUUCUGCCAGAUGUUUUUAGGUGGAUUCUAGAAUGUUCCUUCUGUAGAGUCAAAACAUAUCCUGAUUUUCCAAGCUCAGAGGCCUAUACCAAAAACUGCCACUUUUUCAAAUGCACUUAAUUUCUUUUUGUAAAAGGAGGAAUACUGAAGAUACUUCAGAGAACAAAUUUUCCGUCGGCGGGGCUGCUGUUCCAAGUUUGGUGUUCAUAAGCACCAAAAUAAUUAAAUAUGAUAGCCUGUGCUCCCAUGUAUUCUUUUAACGAGGGGCUUCCCUCCAUAAAAUGUGUUCUUUUGAAGAGGAAGUUUUACAGUACCUAUAUUCAGUCAUCCUGUAGGGAGACGAAUGUAAAGCUUGUUAGCAUGCUGUGUUACAAAAAUGUGCUUUGACUUGUAUUUCAGAAACUUAAAAAAAAUAAAAUGUUGAGAGAAUCUAAAACAAACAAAAAAAACCAAAAAACUUACUGGAAAUGCCAGCAAGUGUGAUGGAGUGGGAUUCCAGUCACGGAACACGUGCAGCUGUUGGCCAUGCGGAGCUACACAGAGUCGCCAAUCUCACCAUUGGCAGAGGCGGGGCCAAGAGCAGCCACAGCCACAGCCACAGCCACACAGCCACAGCCAUAGCCACAGCAAGACUGGUCCCACGUGCUUCGGUCCCAGUUCCUAAAAUUAACCCUUAUCCUGCAGCUCCACGUGACGGCAUUUCCUGCCCUUGCUUUUGACUUGAUCAGUGGAUCCCUUCCAACCAGUAACCUCUUCAUGUUGGUUGGGACUGACACGCACCAACCAAGCUCCCACGAUCCAGGCUGGCUCAUUGAUGGGUCAAAAUUUCAGUUAAUUGGUUGACUACGAGAAAUCGAACAACUAUGGACCCUGGAACAUUUGGGCUGAUGAUGGAUCUCCCUGCUUAUCGGCCACUUGGACCUCAGUUUCCUCAUCUACAAAAUGGGAAGAUAUAGGAACCCAUCUGGGGAGUUACUGUAAGAGUUAAAUGAGAUGAAUAGCAAAGCACUUGCUUUAUUUCCCUGUCUCCUCGUUUACUGACCUCCCACCUAACAGGGGUACAUGGAAAACCCAAGCAGGGUGGACUCAGGAACCAGCAGCCCCGGUUCACUCGAAGCUCCAGUCCCAUCUCUGCCCCAACCUGGCCGGGUGCCAGUAGGAAAAUCCCUUUUGCAUCUCUGGGCUUCGUUUCUUCCUCUUAAAGGGAGGGUCCCCUGUCCCACCAUCCACCCACACAGCUCUUCCAGCCCAGACCUUCUGGCUGCUUGUCACACCACCAUUCAUUAGGUUCUUACAUAUUCCUGGGGGUUUGAGACACACCCAGAUCUCUGUGAUACACACUCUGAUCUCACAGGAUUCCUUGGCUUGCUUGCAUCUCUAGACAGGAGAGGCGGCUCGGGUCAUGCUCAAGGUUGACGACUAACUACAUUAUCCGGAGCCGAGGCUGGUGGCACAUUUGUGAAGACACAACCCCCUCCCCACCCAUAUUACCUUAUCUUUAUCGAAACUUUAGAAGAAUUGGAGCCAAAGCAUUUCCCAUGUUCAUUGUUUUCCGGACUGAGGCUUACAAGGAUGCCACCCAAUCUCUACAGUGUUGUUCAGACGAAUACUUCUGGGAAACAGUUUAGUUGGGUGGUACAGAUAACUGCAUCUAAAAGUCAUUUUAGCCUCCUGAGCAAUUCUCCAUGGUUCAUUCUUGCCUAGGUUUUAUUAAAAUAAGAUUUGUGCCCCCCCCCCCAUGAUAAAAGUAGUGCAGAUUCACCAUAAAGUAUCUAGGAAGUACACACUAGCACGAAGAAAUACAUGAAAACUACCCACGUCCCACUCAGACAACCACUGCCAACAUUCUGAUGGGUCCCUCUGCAGGAAAACAUAUGAUGUUUAUACAGAAAAAUGCACAACACUAAUUGCGUAUAGUAACAAUAUUUUCAUGUAUGGAUGUGUAUGUUUUUCUUUUACAAAUUUCAUUUCAUGUAAAACUUAUUUUGUUGCCCAGCUGGUCUGGCUCGGUGGUUGCACAUCAACCUAUGAACCAGGAGGUCAUGGUUCAAUUCCCAAUCAGGGCACACGUCCUUGGUUGCAGGCUCAAUCCCCAGUAGGGGGCGUGCAGGAAGCAGCCGAUUGAUGAUUCUCAGCAUUGAUGUUUCUCUCUCUCUCCCUCUCCCUUUCUCUCUGAAAUCAAUAAAAGUAUAUAUUUAAAACAACAAACUGAUUUUAUCACAAUUCUAUCACUUGAUUAAUAACAUUCUAGAGCAGUGGUUCUCAACCUUCCUAAUGCUGCGACCCUUUAAUACAGUUCAUGUUGUGGUGACCCCC